UUGGUGGUAGUAGCAAAUACUCGAGAGGGGCCCUCGGGGGCUGCCGUGGAGAAGGGUUUCUUGUGAACAGCCGUUGUCCAAGAGUCAGUCGAUCCUAAGCCCGGGGAGAGAUCCUCGUACCACGGGCGAAGGCGUUUUCGAAUCGCCCUUGGGGCGAGAGGGAAUCCGGUUCGUAUUCCGGAACCCGACGCGGAACCGCUCCGUAGUGUUCGGGGCUCUUUUGUCUCGUCUGGGUAACCAGAAUGAACUCGAAGAAGCCGCCGGGGGAUCUGGGUAGAGUUCUCUUUUCUCUGUGAGCGUUGUACGUCCCUGGAAUCCUCUAGCCGGGCGAUAGGGACGCGAGCGCGAAGAGCACCGCUCGUUGCGGCGGUGUCCGUGAUCCCCACGCGGACCUUGAAAAUUCGAGAGAGGGCCACGCGGAGUCUUCGCGUCGGUUCGUACCGAUAUCCGCAGCAGGUCUCCGAGGUGAGCAGCCUCUAGCCGCAUAGAAUAAUGUAGGUAAGGGAAGUCGGCAAAACCGAUCCGUAACUUCGGGAUAAGGAUUGGCUCUGAGGAGCGUGGCUGCCGGGUUCGGGUCGUCGUAGAAGCGUAGGCGUUUUUGGCGACACCCCGGCCGUCGCCCGUGCGCCCGGUCUUCGGAACGGGAGCCUCGAGGCGGCCGCGGGCCCGUCGCCGUCCGCCGACCGUGGAACCACCGAGCUUCGGUCGCUGGCCGCGUCGCGGCCGGCCGACCGCCUUGGUGUCGGUUCGCCGUCACCGGGCGGUCCGGCCGCCGCGCCGUCGGUCGCGUAGCCGGAUCGACAGCCAUGUAACGGUCAACUCAGAACUGGCACGGACCAGGGGAAUCCGACUGUCUAAUUAAAACAAAGCAUCGCGAUGGCCCGGGACGGGUGUUGACGCGAUGUGAUUUCUGCCCAGUGCUCUGUAUGUCAACGUGAAGAAAUUCAAGCAAGCGCGGGUAAACGGCAGGAGUAACUAUGACUCUUUUAAGGUAGCCAAAUGCCUCGUCAUCUAAUUAGUGACGCGCAUGAAUGGAUUAACGAGAUUCUCACUGUCCCUAUCUACUAUCUAGCGAAACCACAGCCAAGGGAACGGGCUUGGAAAAAUCAGCGGGGAAAGAAGACCCUGUUGAGCUUGACUCUAAUCUGGCAUUGUUCGGAGACAUGCCGAGGUGUAGCAUACGUGGGAGACCCGGACCAAGGCGGGCGGUUUCGGCCGUUCGUCUCCGGGCCGACCUUGAAAUACCACUACUCGCAUCGUUUCCCCACUUACUCGGUAGAGCGGAACGCGCGGUUCCGGCCGCGGGCGCGUCCGGCCGGCGGUCGUCGUCCCGUCGCGUCGUCGGUUUGCCGUCGGUUCGCCGGCGCGCUACUGGCGCGCGGCGUGGUCGCCGUGCCGUCGGCCUGUGCCCGUUCGUGCCGGGCCGCGGUUGAUAUUCCGGUAGCGUUAAGCACCAGCCGAGGGAUCCGGGCGUCAAACCGCGGACCGCGUCCGUCCGCGUACGGCCGACCGUCAAAAGUCGCCGUCCGCGUUCGCGGCGUAUCCGCGGGCCCGGUCCCUGGUGCGAUCCGUAUUCCGAGGACACCGCCAGGUGG
rfam:Acyrthosiphon pisum strain LSR1 Contig2678, whole genome shotgun sequence.